GAUGAAGAACGUAGUGAAAUGCGAUAAGUAAUGUGAAUUGCAGAAUUCAGUGAAUCAUCGAAUCUUUGAACGCAUCUUGCGCUCCUUGGUAUUCCUUGGAGCAUGCCUGUUUGAGUAUCAUGAGCAAAUCUCAAAGUCAAUUCCUUUUGUUGAUUCAAUUGGUUUUGCUUUGGACUUGGAGGCCUUGCAGAUUUCACAGUCUGCUCCUCUUAAAUGCAUUAGCUGGAUCUCAGUAAUUAUGCUUGGUUCCACUCGGCGUGAUAAGUAUCACUCGCUGAGGACACUGUUAAAAAGGUGGCCAGGAAAAUACUGAUUGAACCGCUUCUAACGGUCUAUUAAGUUAGACAAUUACCCUUAAGUUUGAUCUCAAAUCAGGUAGGACUACCCGCUGAACUUAAGCAUAUCAAUAAGCGGAGGA
rnacentral:misc_RNA from 1 species